UUAGUGUCAACUGAAUUGUUGACCUUGGUUCAAGCUCCUUGUUCCCAGACACAUGACCACUGCAUUGCCGGGCUGCAGGGCCUGUGAACAACCACAUACUAGCAUUCUGUGCUCAGCAGAGGUACCACUGGCUUGGAUUGGAAAAAAACUAUCUUUCUUUUCUUUCUGCCUGAGAAGUGAGAAUGCUUUGAUGACGGCUCAUGAAUAGCAUCAGCCUCCUAUUAGGACUCAUUCAUAGGUUUGGAGAAGCCGAGAAGCCUUGUCAACACCACAGCAAAAGGAACACAGAUGGAUUCUUUACACCCUGAAAUGUUAUACCCGGGCACAGCAGUAAUAACUGACUGGAGCUAUCUAGGAGCAUUUGAAACCCAAGACUGGAGAAGACCUAUGCAAUUCAGCACUAAUACAAUCAGAAUUUUAUUACAGAAUUUCCAUCCCGGCAAUGCUAUCACCUCAAGCAAGUAAUGCAACAGCAACCUAUUUCUCGGAUGAAUGAGAACAAGUUGAUUCGUACGAAUAGCUCCCUGCUUUACAUCAGCAGAACACAAGUAGAUGAUGCUUUAAAUUAAGUUUAACUUUUAUAAUAUGAUGAUUGACUAUUUUGAUGGCUCUGAGAUCUAGAUUCAUUUAAUAAUGGAUUAUGACACAAUAUUUUCUGAAUGUCUUUGUUACCACUACCAUUUCACAUUAAAUGAACAAAUAAAAUAUCUGAGCUUAACAGUUCACAUUUCUUUAUUACGUUUUCGUCAGCUGAAUUUCUUUUAAUUCUUACCACCAGAGUACUUCCGACUAAAUUCAUGUUAACUUGGCUACUAAAAACAUCACUGGUAUUUCUUGUUUAAAAAGAUGUAGGUCUGUGUAUGCCACUACAAACAGAGCUCAUUGGCAAUAUUAACCCACAUAACUGUACACAGGUAUUGAUGAACAAUUUAUAUGGGAGGAAAUAAAAGUUGAAAAUAUGAACGAGUUGUGUGUCAAAUAAGGGAAAUACAACGAUCAGAAGAAAUAGCAAACUUCUGAAAUGGUGUUUAAGGCUGAUGCUGAGAGAGAGAACUGGGAAGGGUACAGGGAGAACCAGAGGUUCUCAAAUUCUGGGUCCCUGCUUCCCAAGGCUGUUUUCGAAAUUUGAGUGGGGGGCAUAUUGGGUUGUUAACCUUCAC